rnacentral:misc_RNA from 1 species
UCCGAGUUGACCCCGGCAGUCUCCUAUGAGUCCCCGCCAUUACGCGCUGGCAACAUAGAACGAGGGUUGCGCUCGUUGCGGGACUUAACCCAACAUCUCACGACACGAGCUGACGACAGCCAUGCACCACCUGUGAACCUGCCCCGAAGGGAGCCCCUGUUUCCAGGGGGGUCAGGCACAUGUCAAGCCCAGGUAAGGUUCUUCGCGUUGCGUCGAAUUAAACCACAUGCUCCGCUGCUUGUGCGGGCCCCUGUCAAUUCCUUUGAGUUUUAGCCUUGCGGCCGUACUCCCCAGGCGGGGCGCUUAAUGCGUUAGCUACGGCACGGAUCCCGUGGAAGGAAACCCACACCUAGCGCCCACCGUUUACGGCGUGGACUAC